GAGCGCCCUCAGUAAGCAUGGCGCCGGCUCCGCCCCGUUCCCGCCUCCCGCGGUGACGGGCCCCGCGCGCCGCUCCGCGAUGGCGGCUCCCGGCGCGGUGUGGCUCGGAGACACGGUGGAGCUGGUGCCGUGCCCCUACGACGUCCAUCACCGCGUUCCCCCGGCGUCGCUGGAGAGGCACGCCGCGUCCUGCCGGCUCCGCAAGAUGGGCUACUCCGCCGAGGAGGAGAUAAAGAUCUACAGUUUCACAUUGUUAAACAAGCUAGAGCUCAAAGUGCCAAAGAAGGUGCAGGCUACAGCGAAGGAUCUUACUCAUUACUACCUGUAGAAGUUCCCCAAAAUCACAAGCGUUUCACCUGUGACCUGACUCAAGCUGAUCGCCUUGCUCUUUAUGAUUAUGUUGUUGAGGAAACAAAGAAACAGAGGUCUAGAUCCCAAAUAACGGAAAAUGACAGUGACCUCUUUGUGGAUUUAGCAGCAAAAAUCACCCAAGAUGAUAGUCAGAAAGGUCCCAAGUCCCAUCUUGAAAUUCUGGCUGAAAUGCGAGAUUACAAAAGGCGGCGGCAGUCAUACAGGGCUAAGAACGUUCAUAUAACAAAGAAGUCUUACACUGAGGUGAUUCGGGAUGUGAUUGGUGUGCAUAUGGAAGAACUCAGCAAUCAUUGGCAGGAGGAGAAUAGGCUGGAUAAUGCAGAGAUGUCUGAAGGAGGGAAGUCAAAAUCUUCAGGAAGGAAGGAAGACAGGCGGUCAGCUUCGGUGGACUCCCGGCAGUCCGGAGGAAGCUCUAAGGAUACUGAAUGCACCAGGCAUAGGAGAGAGAGCAGCAGGAGUCCAAGUAAACGAAGGAGGAGUCGCGAAAGAGGCAAAGACAGAGAUUCUCGGAGAAAAAGAGAGAGGUGGGCAGGCCUGGUGACAGUUGAAGUCUGCCUCUGAAUCAGGCCGCUGUAGCCAUUGUCUGUAAGAAAUUAGUGCAGAGAAUUAGAAUAUCUCUUUCAGUUAAAAAGCUAGGCUCAACUCUUACACUGUAUAACAAGCCAGUGGCAUGAGACUACUCAUAUUAAACAGAACGUGCUGAGAUCAUAAACUGUGAUCCAGAAUUUACCCUCACAUCUGAAAGGUGACACUUUGAGCUGCAUGCUGCAGGAUUAGCACAGUACUGUUGCAGGCUAUUUUACUCCUUGACCAACAUAUGCACAGGGGGGCAUGCUGUCUGUUUAACCCAUGACGUAUGCUUGUCAUGUCUAAUGCUGAUCUCUGCUCUAGUUUGCACUGGGACUUGACUCAGUCAGUAAGAUUAUUUGUUUUCACCAAUACAUAUAUACACACAAUCACUUGAAUAGCUUUUCAAAGAUAGGUGCUUUAAAACAGUGUUGCUUUUUUUAAGUAGUUCAGGGUAUAUUUUUAGGCAAAAGAAAACAAAUCUAGGCCACACUUCUAAUGCCAUCAACAAGGGCAUGUUUGCACCUGCAAGUCCAUAGGUGUGUGAGACCUGUGUGUGAGCAAAGACUUAAGCUGUUGGACAGCAGAAAUGCUGCAUUGUCCCUGGUGUGUGUGUAAGAAAUGCUGUAGGUAACUGCAGGGGAGGGGAUGAUUGCUUAUCUCAAAACUGGCUUCAUUUCCCAGUGACGCCAUUCAUCCUAAACUAAGUGCCACUAUGGCACUGCAUGACAAGGCUUUGAUUAAACAGCAUGGGAAAUAAA